rnacentral:misc_RNA from 1 species
UUUCCGUAGGUGAACCUGCGGAAGGAUCAUUCAUAAUAAGUGUUUUAUGGCUCUUUUUUAAAUCCAUAUCCACCUUGUGUGCAAUGUCAGUGUUGAUUUUUCUCUCGAUAGGAUCAGCCUCAAACAUCAACUAUAUCUCAACUCUUUGUCUGAAAAAUAUUAUGAAUAAAACAAUUCAAAAUACAACUUUCAACAACGGAUCUCUUGGCUCUC